rfam:Pseudoflavonifractor capillosus ATCC 29799 B_capillosus-2.0.1_Cont255, whole genome shotgun sequence.
UUUAUUGAGAGUUUGAUCCUGGCUCAGGAUGAACGCUGGCGGCGUGCUUAACACAUGCAAGUCGAACGGAGAGCUCAUGACAGAGGAUUCGUCCAAUGGAUUGGGUUUCUUAGUGGCGGACGGGUGAGUAACGCGUGAGGAACCUGCCUCGGAGUGGGGAAUAACAGUCCGAAAGGACUGCUAAUACCGCAUAAUGCAGCUGAGUCGCAUGACACUGGCUGCCAAAGAUUUAUCGCUCUGAGAUGGCCUCGCGUCUGAUUAGCUAGUUGGCGGGGUAACGGCCCCCCCAGGCGACGAUCAGUAGCCGGACUGAGAGGUUGGCCGGCCCCAUUGGGGACUGAGACACCGGCCCGACUCCUACCGGAGGCAGCAGUGGGGAUUUUGGGCAAUGGGCGCAGCUGACUCAGCAACGCGCGUGAAGAUGAAGGCUUUCGGGUUGUAACUUCUUUUAUCAGGGACGA